GAUAUCCACCCCCGUCUCUUGUUCACUUUUUCUCCAAAAUUUGCUUUCGAAUAAGAAUGCGUGUCUCACUCUCUCUCACUGAAAUUGUGCGAGAACAAGAAUUGAGAGACGGAGAGUUAGCUAGAGCACCUGCUCC
ensembl:ncRNA K01D12.19 ncRNA